CAAAAGAUGUGGUUCUAUUGACUACUUACUCAGGGACUACCCUGAGCUAACCGAUAAAGAGGUGGAAGUAGCUCCGAAGUAGAGUGCUCCUAUUCCACGAGGUAGAUCUCCGAGGUAUCCUAGAAGUGCUAGUAGCUGUCAAGUUGUGGCCAAAGAAAUUGCAAAAUUAGAGGAUCGAUCCCCGGCUAGAACAUAUGCAAUACGCGCUUGAGAGGAAGCCUUUGCUCCUGACAUCAUCAU
rnacentral:lncRNA from 1 species